rnacentral:rRNA from 1 species
UACGUAGGGUGCAAGCGUUAAUCGGAAUUACUGGGCGUAAAGCGUGUGCAGGCGGUUGUGCAAGACCGAUGUGAAAUCCCCGGGCUUAACCUGGGAAUGGCAUUGGUGACUGCACGGCUAGAGUGUGUCAGAGGGGGGUAGAAUUCCACGUGUAGCAGUGAAAUGCGUAGAGAUGUGGAGGAAUACCGAUGGCGAAGGCAGCCCCCUGGGAUAACACUGACGCUCAUGCACGAAAGCGUGGGGAGCAAACAGG